CUGUUGCAUACAUAAUAACGAGCAGGGAGACCCAAGAAACCCUUAAGCUUGCACUUCAGAGGCUACGACCUGUGUUCCCUAAGCCGCCAAGGUGCUUCAUGGUUGACAAAGACAUGAGUGAAAUUAAUGCUUUGAAUGAAGUUUUCCCUGAAUCUGAUGUUCUUCUCUGCUGGUACCAUGUACUUCAGGCUGUCGUUCGGUGGUUGAUGAAGACCGAAUCUGGUGUUACUGGGCCACACUUCUCAAAUACCCGGAGAGAAAUUCUAGAUUUCUUUAAAAAAAUGAAAGCUUGUGCAACGAAGACUGACUUUGAAAGGGUUGCAAAAAAAUUUCUUAGCAACUUUUCUCACUACCAAGAGGUUUGCAAGUACUUCCAGAGGUACUGGGAACCAAUAAGUCAAAGAUGG